CAGUUGAAGGUGGGUCCAAUGAGCUAGGCAGGCAACUGAACAGUUUCACCCCUCGCAGUGGAUUGUUGGAAGUCCGCGUGCUU
rnacentral:SRP_RNA from 1 species